rnacentral:rRNA from 1 species
AGUGAACGCUGGCGGCAGGCCUAACACAUGCAAGUCGAACGGCAGCACAAGAGAGCUUGCUCUCUGGGUGGCGAGUGGCGGACGGGUGAGGAAUGCAUCGGAAUCUGCCCAUUUGUGGGGGAUAACCUCGGGAAACCGGGACUAAUACCGCAUACGACCUCCGGGUGAAAGCAGGGGAUCUUCGGACCUUGCGCAGAUGGAUGAGCCGCUGCCGGAUUAGCUAGUUGGAGGGGUAAAGGCCCACCAAGGCGACGAUCCGUAGCUGGUCUGAGAGGAUGAUCAGCCACACUGGGACUGAGACACGGCCCAGACUCCUACGGGAGGCAGCAGUGGGGAAUAUUGGACAAUGGGCGCAAGCCUGAUCCAGCCAUGCCGCGUGUGUGAAGAAGGCCUUCGGGUUGUAAAGCACUUUUGUUGGGAAAGAAAAGCAGCCGGUUAAUACCCGGUUGUCAUGACGGUACCCAAAGAAUAAGCACCGGCUAACUUCGUG